AUUGAACGCUGGCGGCAUGCUUUACACAUGCAAGUCGAACGGUAACAGGUUAAGCUGACGAGUGGCGAACGGGUGAGUAAUGCAUCGGAACGUGCCCGGUCGUGGGGGAUAACGCAGCGAAAGCUGCGCUAAUACCGCAUACGAUCUGAGGAUGAAAGCGGGGGACCGUAAGGCCUCGCGCGAUCGGAGCGGCCGAUGUCAGAUUAGGUAGUUGGUGGGGUAAAGGCUCACCAAGCCGACGAUCUGUAGCUGGUCUGAGAGGACGACCAGCCACACUGGGACUGAGACACGGCCCAGACUCCUACGGGAGGCAGCAGUGGGGAAUUUUGGACAAUGGGCGAAAGCCUGAUCCAGCAAUGGCGCGUGCAGGAAGAAGGCCUUCGGGUUGUAAACUGCUUUUGUACGGAGCGAAAAGGUUUCCUCUAAUACAGGGGGCUCAUGACGGUACCGUAAGAAUAAGCACCGGCUAACUACGUGCCAGCCGCCGCCGUAA
rnacentral:rRNA from 1 species